rnacentral:snRNA from 1 species
GUGCCUUCUAAACUGUGACGGAGGGAGUAUCUGUUCUUAUCAAUUUAAUAUCUGAUACGUGGAUCUACGGAUCCACACUAUGAUGUUAAUUUAAUUUUUUGUGGGGAGAGGGUCCGCUGCUUGGGCCCUCGAGCGUCGUCAGGGUCAGGGUUGCACUAUAGCCUUGAAAGUUGACGCACCUCAA